rnacentral:lncRNA from 1 species
GUGAUUUUUGGUUCUUGAGUUUUCUUGAAGAAGGGUGUGAAUCUUGUUAUUGGUGAUUGAUCUUGAAAGAAACCCUAAUUUUGAUGUAAUGGAUGAAUGGGGAAUUGUGUUCUUUGAUUUGAUUCAAUUGGGUUAUAAAAGGAGUGGAAAAAGAUCCACAAUCCUUUUUAAAAUAGCUGAAAAUCGUUAAACGGAGGUCUACAAUGGUUUGGGUGAUGAACCGUCGCCAUGGGGACGG